GGGGGAUAUUGCACAAUGGAGGAAACUCUGAUGCAGCAACGCCGCGUGAGGGAAGAAGGUCUUCGGAUUGUAAACCUUUGUCCUUGGUGACGAUAAUGACGGUAGCCAAGGAGGAAGCUCCGGCUAACUACGUGCCAGCAGCCGCGGUAAUACGUAGGGAGCGAGCGUUGUCCGGAUUUACUGGGUGUAAAGGGUGCGUAGGCGGCUCUGCAAGUCAGGUGUGAAAACUAUGGGCUUAACCCAUAGACUGCGUUUGAAACUGUGGGGCUUGAGUGAAGUAGAGGCAGACGGAAUUCCCGGUGUAGCGGUGAAAUGCGUAGAGAUCGGGAGGAACACCAGUGGCGAAGGCGGUCUGCUGGGCUUUAACUGACGCUGAGGCACGAAAGCAUGGGUAGCAAAC
rnacentral:rRNA from 1 species